GCCGGGUGUGGUGGUGAACACCUGUAGUCCCAGCUACUUGGGAGGCUGAGGUGGGAGGAUCACUUGAGCCCAGGAGUUUGAGGCUGCAGUGAGCUGAGAUGGUGCCAUUGCACUCCAGCCUGGACAACAGAAUGAGACCCUGUCUCAA
rnacentral:SRP_RNA from 1 species